rnacentral:rRNA from 1 species
AAGCAACGCGAAGAACCUUACCAGGUCUUGACAUCCAACUAACGAAGCAGAGAUGCAUUAGGUGCCCUUCGGGGAAAGUUGAGACAGGUGGUGCAUGGUUGUCGUCAGCUCGUGUCGUGAGAUGUUGGGUUAAGUCCCGCAACGAGCGCAACCCUUGACUUUAGUUGCCAGCAGGUUGUGCUGGGCACUCUAGAGUGACUGCCGGUGACAAACCGGAGGAAGGUGGGGAUGACGUCAAAUCAUCAUGCCCCUUAUGACCUGGGCUACACACGUACUACAAUGGCCGGUACAACGGGAAGCGAAGCCGCGAGGUGGAGCCAAUCCCAGCAAAGCCGGUCUCAGUUCGGAUUGCAGGCUGCAACUCGCCUGCAUGAAGUCGGAAUUGCUAGUAAUCGCGGAUCAGCAUGCCGCGGUGAAUACGUUCCCGGGUCUUGUACACACCGCCCGUCACACCACGAGAGUUUACAACACCCGAAGUCGGUGGGGUAACCCGCAAGGG